rnacentral:rRNA from 1 species
GGGUUGUGAGGUUAAGCGACUAAGCGUACACGGUGGAUGCCCUGGCAGUCAGAGGCGAUGAAGGACGUGCUAAUCUGCGAUAAGCGUCGGUAAGGUGAUAUGAACCGUUAUAACCGGCGAUUUCCGAAUGGGGAAACCCAGUGUGUUUCGACACACUAUCAUUAACUGAAUCCAUAGGUUAAUGAGGCGAACCGGGGGAACUGAAACAUCUAAGUACCCCGAGGAAAAGAAAUCAACCGAGAUUCCCCCAGUAGCGGCGAGCGAACGGGGAGCAGCCCAGAGCCUGAAUCAGUGUGUGUGUUAGUGGAAGCGUCUGGAAAGGCGCGCGAUACAGGGUGACAGCCCCGUACACAAAAAUGCACAUGCUGUGAGCUCGAUGAGUAGGGCGGGACACGUGGUAUCCUGUCUGAAUAUGGGGGGACCAUCCUCCAAGGCUAAAUACUCCUGACUGACCGAUAGUGAACCAGUACCGUGAGGGAAAGGCGAAAAGAACCCCGGCGAGGGGAGUGAAAAAGAACCUGAAACCGUGUACGUACAAGCAGUGGGAGCACGCUUAGGCGUGUGACUGCGUACCUUUUGUAUAAUGGGUCAGCGACUUAUAUUCUGUAGCAAGGUUAACCGAAUAGGGGAGCCGAAGGGAAACCGAGUCUUAACUGGGCGUUAAGUUGCAGGGUAUAGACCCGAAACCCGGUGAUCUAGCCAUGGGCAGGUUGAAGGUUGGGUAACACUAACUGGAGGACCGAACCGACUAAUGUUGAAAAAUUAGCGGAUGACUUGUGGCUGGGGGUGAAAGGCCAAUCAAACCGGGAGAUAGCUGGUUCUCCCCGAAAGCUAUUUAGGUAGCGCCUCGUGAAUUCAUCUCCGGGGGUAGAGCACUGUUUCGGCAAGGGGGUCAUCCCGACUUACCAACCCGAUGCAAACUGCGAAUACCGGAGAAUGUUAUCACGGGAGACACACGGCGGGUGCUAACGUCCGUCGUGAAGAGGGAAACAACCCAGACCGCCAGCUAAGGUCCCAAAGUCAUGGUUAAGUGGGAAACGAUGUGGGAAGGCCCAGACAGCCAGGAUGUUGGCUUAGAAGCAGCCAUCAUUUAAAGAAAGCGUAAUAGCUCACUGGUCGAGUCGGCCUGCGCGGAAGAUGUAACGGGGCUAAACCAUGCACCGAAGCUGCGGCAGCGACGCUGAUGCGUUGUUGGGUAGGGGAGCGUUCUGUAAGCCUGCGAAGGUGUGCUGUGAGGCAUGCUGGAGGUAUCAGAAGUGCGAAUGCUGACAUAAGUAACGAUAAAGCGGGUGAAAAGCCCGCUCGCCGGAAGACCAAGGGUUCCUGUCCAACGUUAAUCGGGGCAGGGUGAGUCGACCCCUAAGGCGAGGCCGAAAGGCGUAGUCGAUGGGAAACAGGUUAAUAUUCCUGUACUUGGUGUUACUGCGAAGGGGGGACGGAGAAGGCUAUGUUGGCCGGGCGACGGUUGUCCCGGUUUAAGCGUGUAGGCUGGUUUUCCAGGCAAAUCCGGAAAAUCAAGGCUGAGGCGUGAUGACGAGGCACUACGGUGCUGAAGCAACAAAUGCCCUGCUUCCAGGAAAAGCCUCUAAGCAUCAGGUAACAUCAAAUCGUACCCCAAACCGACACAGGUGGUCAGGUAGAGAAUACCAAGGCGCUUGAGAGAACUCGGGUGAAGGAACUAGGCAAAAUGGUGCCGUAACUUCGGGAGAAGGCACGCUGAUAUGUAGGUGAAGUCCCUUGCGGAUGGAGCUGAAAUCAGUCGAAGAUACCAGCUGGCUGCAACUGUUUAUUAAAAACACAGCACUGUGCAAACACGAAAGUGGACGUAUACGGUGUGACGCCUGCCCGGUGCCGGAAGGUUAAUUGAUGGGGUCAGCGCAAGCGAAGCUCUUGAUCGAAGCCCCGGUAAACGGCGGCCGUAACUAUAACGGUCCUAAGGUAGCGAAAUUCCUUGUCGGGUAAGUUCCGACCUGCACGAAUGGCGUAAUGAUGGCCAGGCUGUCUCCACCCGAGACUCAGUGAAAUUGAACUCGCUGUGAAGAUGCAGUGUACCCGCGGCAAGACGGAAAGACCCCGUGAACCUUUACUAUAGCUUGACACUGAACAUUGAGCCUUGAUGUGUAGGAUAGGUGGGAGGCUUUGAAGUGUGGACGCCAGUCUGCAUGGAGCCGACCUUGAAAUACCACCCUUUAAUGUUUGAUGUUCUAACGUUGACCCGUAAUCCGGGUUGCGGACAGUGUCUGGUGGGUAGUUUGACUGGGGCGGUCUCCUCCUAAAGAGUAACGGAGGAGCACGAAGGUUGGCUAAUCCUGGUCGGACAUCAGGAGGUUAGUGCAAUGGCAUAAGCCAGCUUGACUGCGAGCGUGACGGCGCGAGCAGGUGCGAAAGCAGGUCAUAGUGAUCCGGUGGUUCUGAAUGGAAGGGCCAUCGCUCAACGGAUAAAAGGUACUCCGGGGAUAACAGGCUGAUACCGCCCAAGAGUUCAUAUCGACGGCGGUGUUUGGCACCUCGAUGUCGGCUCAUCACAUCCUGGGGCUGAAGUAGGUCCCAAGGGUAUGGCUGUUCGCCAUUUAAAGUGGUACGCGAGCUGGGUUUAGAACGUCGUGAGACAGUUCGGUCCCUAUCUGCCGUGGGCGCUGGAGAACUGAGGGGGGCUGCUCCUAGUACGAGAGGACCGGAGUGGACGCAUCACUGGUGUUCGGGUUGUCAUGCCAAUGGCACUGCCCGGUAGCUAAAUGCGGAAGAGAUAAGUGCUGAAAGCAUCUAAGCACGAAACUUGCCCCGAGAUGAGUUCUCCCUGACCCUUUAAGGGUCCUGAAGGAACGUUGAAGACGACGACGUUGAUAGGCCGGGUGUGUAAGCGCAGCGAUGCGUUGAGCUAACCGGUACUAAUGAACCGUGAGGCUUAACCUUACAACGCCGAAGCUGUU